CUCUCCGAAGGUUAAGCUAACCACUUCUGGUGCAGUCCACUCCCAUGGUGUGACGGGCGGUGUGUACAAGGCCGGGAACGUAUUCACCGUGGCAUUCUGAUCCACGAUUACUAGCGAUUCCGACUUCACGGAGUCGAGUUGCAGACUCCGAUCCGGACUGAGGCCGGCUUUAUGGGAUUGGCUUCACGUCGCCGCUUCGCAACCCUUUGUACCGGCCAUUGUAGCACGUGUGUAGCCCUGCUCGUAAGGGCCAUGAUGACUUGACGUCGUCCCCACCUUCCUCCGGUUUGUCACCGGCAGUCUCCCUGAAGUUCCCGGCCGGACCGCUGGCAAAAAGGGAUAGGGGUUGCGCUCGUUACGGGACUUAACCCAACAUUUCACAACACGAGCUGACGACAGCCAUGCAGCACCUGUCUCUGCGUUCCCGAAGGCACUUUCCCAUCUCUGGGAAAUUCGCAGGAUGUCAAGAGCAGGUAAGGUUCUUCGCGUUGCAUCGAAUUAAACCACAUGCUCCACCGCUUGUGCGGGCCCCCGUCAAUUCAUUUGAGUUUUAGCCUUGCGGCCGUACUCCCCAGGCGGUCGACUUAUUGCGUUAACUGCGCCACCAAACCCUCAAGGGGUCCAACGGCUGGUCGACAUCGAUUACGGCGUGGACUACCAGGGUAUCUAAUCCUGUUUGCUACCCACGCUUUCGCGCCUCAWCGUCAGUGUCAGUCCAGAAGGCCGCCUUCKCCACUGGKAUUCCUCCCGAUCUCUACGCAUUUCACCGCUACACCGGGAAUUCCACCUUCCUCUCUGCACUCUAGCCUGCCAGUUCAGAAUGCCGUUCCCGGGUUGAGCCCGGGGCUUUCACAUCCGGCUUGGCAAGCCGCCUACGCGCCCUUUAAGCCCAGUAAUUCCGAUUAACGCUUGCACCCUCCGUAUUACCGCGGCUGCUGGCACGGAGUUAGCCGGUGCUUCUUGUGUGGGUGAUGUCCUUCAUGGUGGUUAUUAACCACCAUGCCUUCUUCCCCACUGAAAGUGCUUUACAACCCGAAGGCCUUCUUCACACACGCGGCAUGGCUGGAUCAGGGUUUCCCCCAUUGUCCAAUAUUCCCCACUGCUGCCUCCCGUAGGAGUCCGGGCCGUGUCUCAGUCCCGGUGUGGCUGAUCAUCCUCUCAGACCAGCUACGGAUCGUUGCCUUGGUGAGCCGUUACCUCACCAACAAGCUAAUCCGACAUGGGCUCAUCCGAUAGCGCAAGGUCCGAAGAUCCCCUGCUUUCUCCCGUAGGACGUAUGCGGUAUUAGCUCGGGUUUCCCCGAGUUAUCCCCCACUACCGGGCAGAUACCCAUGCAUUACUCACCCGUCCGCCGCUCGUCAGCGGGUAGCAAGCUACCCCUGUUACCGCUCGAC
rnacentral:rRNA from 1 species